GACGAACGCUGGCGGCGUGCUUAACACAUGCAAGUCGAGCGGAAAGGCCCUUUCGGGGGUACUCGAGCGGCGAACGGGUGAGUAACACGUGAGUAAUCUGCCCUUCACUCUGGGAUAGCCACCGGAAACGGUGAUUAAUACCGGAUACGACCAAUCCCUGCAUGGGGUGUUGGUGGAAACUUUUUGGGUGGGGGAUGUGCUCGCGGCCUAUCAGCUUGUUGGUGGGGUAAUGGCCUACCAAGGCUUCGACGAGUAGCCGGCCUGAGAGGGUGACCGGCCACACUGGGACUGAGACACGGCCCAGACUCCUACGGGAGGCAGCAGUGGGGAAUAUUGGACAAUGGGCGGAAGCCUGAUCCAGCAACGCCGCGUGAGGGAUGACGGCCUUCGGGUUGUAAACCUCUUUCAGCACCGACGAAGCGAUCCUUUGGGGGAGUGACGGUAGGUGCAGAAGAAGGACCGGCCAACUACGUGCCAGCAGCCGCGGUAACAC
rnacentral:rRNA from 1 species